AGUAUAUUUUUACCUAUAAUACCUUUAUAUUGUCUCGUGACAAACUUUAAAUAGUGGUUCAUUUUGGACAAUUAUUUUCACAAUGAUAAAAAUCAAGGGAAUUUUUAAAGCUUUUAACCUCAUUUGCUCGCCUAAAACUCCCUCUCAUCUGUCUCCCUCCCGUCUUUCUCCCUCCAUUUGAUAGAGAGCUCGAGACCUUGGUUUUCACCUCGAGAAAGCCCUUUCGCCUUCCAUCCAUGGUUGUCGACUCAACUCAUGAAAUGUAAGAGCCAGCCAGGAGAUCUUCAUUCACAACAGCUAAGAAUAUCUGUUUUAGGCUGCAGAAGUAGGGUUCAACUUCAGAAUUUUGUGGGUUUUUCUUCAUAGCAUGCUUUUUUAUAUGGAUUUGGAGAGACUUGAAGACUUAGGAUCAAGAGUUGGGAGAUUCACAACUUACUCUACACAUUUUGAAUGGGAAACUGUAUGGGGCAGUGAGAGUAGGAGGCUCUAGUUUGAAGCGUGGUGAUGAAGAUAUUUGGUUUCAAAGCCAUAAAGUAGAAAGCAUCAGAGCUUCUAGCUCAUGUAUUUUCAAGGCCAAAAAUUCUUCUUGAUAGAGAGAGAGAGAUGGAACAAUGUUGUAAUAAUAUAAUUCGAAUAUGAAUUUCUCUCUAUCUUAAAUUUCAAAAUAUUUGAUGUAUUUUAUUUUGUGCCUACAUGAAUCAAGUUUUUCUUAUUCAA